UUUUAUGGCUUUUAUAAAAAUCGAUAUUUGUCCGUUAUUAAAUUCUGAAUACAACGAAGAAGCUAUAAUAGUUUCACAAAUAUGUAUCUAUUUUUCCUUUGGAAUACAUUUUUACGGUCAGUAAAAAUAUUCCGAUUUGUCCACGUUAUACCGUUAACUAUGCGGAUUUUUCUUUUGAUAAUACUUUAUUUGAAUAACUUUUCGAAUAAGUUUCAGUUCACUGAUACCUACGUUAUUUUCUGACGUUUUCUUUGGUUCGAACCCUGGGUUCUUCUGUUGUUUUUGUUGUUAUUGCUUGCUUUUUGUUGACUUCUGGAUUACUUUGGCAAUAGGGAAAUUUAACGCCAAAAAUAUUACACCGCUCACGAUCGGUUUUUCGUUUGAAAAGAUAUAUCGUCGUAUAUACAGUGGACAAUAAAUUAUAAGCCAAAUACAAUUACUCUUUACCUAUAUUUUAUCUUCCCAACAAUACUGAUCUACCCGUGAGCAUUAUCAAUUUUUUUCUAAUUAUUAUGAUCAAU